rnacentral:rRNA from 1 species
GUCUAUGGCCAUGCCAGCCUGAACAUGUCCAAUCUCAUCUGAUCUCAGGAGCUAAGCAGGGUUGGGCCUGGUUAGUACUUGGAUGGGAGAUCAUCUAGAAAAUCCAGGUGCUAUAGGCA